GACGAACGCUGGCGGCGUGCCUAAUACAUGCAAGUCGAGCGGACUAAUGGGAGCUUGCUCCCGUUAGUUAGCGGCGGACGGGUGAGUAACACGUGGGCAACCUACCUGUAAGACUGGGAUAACUUCGGGAAACCGGAGCUAAUACCGGAUGACAUAAAGGAACUCCUGUUCCUUUAUUGAAAGAUGGCUUCGGCUAUCACAUACAGAUGGGCCCGCGGCGCAUUAGCUAGUUGGUGAGGUAACGGCUCACCAAGGCGACGAUGCGUAGCCGACCUGAGAGGGUGAUCGGCCAAACUGGGACUGAGACACGGCCCAGACUCCUACGGGAGGCAGCAGUAGGGAAUCUUCCGCAAUGGACGAAAGUCUGACGGAGCAACGCCGCGUGAGCGAUGAAGGCCUUCGGGUCGUAAAGCUCUGUUGUUAGGGAAGAAUAAGUGCUAGUUGAAUAAGCUGGCACCUUGACGGUACCUAACCAGAAAGCCACGGCUAACUACGUGCCAGCCGCCGCUGUAACAC
rnacentral:rRNA from 1 species